AUCUAACUAAAUUUUUUUUGGGGUGUUACAAUUUCAAUCCAAUAAUUCCAAAAGAUAAUAGUCCAUGGAAAAAAUACACACAGGAGGAAUGUAUUGUCUCCAUUUUUUGUGAAAUACAAGAUGCUUAUUGAAUGACCUUUUCGAUUUACACCCAUUAUAUCAAUUUUUGGAUCGAACUAAUCCAUUGAUCUCGAUCGCAAACAUUUGUUGAACAUGUACACCGCAAUCUUAGCCAAAUAAUUGUCACCAUGUGAAGCAUUGGGGAAUAGUCUUCGCAACUUGCUGUAACCAGCUGAGGAUGAAGAUGAAAUCAACGGCCAUAAUUCGAUUUUCUAAUUCUUUCUCAAAAUUGGACAGAUAAAAUCAACUAACCAUGAGUGAAAACUUAUCUUCUUCAGAAUAGUCCUCAAUAGGGAUUGCCUAAUAUUAGUAUUAUCAAAUUUUCUCUAGAGUCUCCCCGUCUUGGUCAUCCAGUUGUCUGCUUUGAAAUUUACUAGUCUCAAUAAAAUUCUUGGCAUGAAAUCCUUCCCUUCAUUUGCUUCUUCCUUUCAAGAGUGGUGCAUAUGUCAUUAAAAGACUUGACACCCAAGCUAGUAAUUCGAUAAAAAAAAUAUUGAUUAUUAUAUAAGAGAAAUAUAUAUGCAAUAUGAAAAUUUUAUAAGACUACUCAAAGAACAUAGAUAUAUACGUUAUAACAUUUAAGUUAAUCCAAAUUCAUUUAGAAAAACUUUUAUAUUCUUAAAUAAUUUAAAAUUAUUAAAUUAAUAUUGAAUAGGAAAGGGCAUGAAGAAUGCAGCACAAUUGCAUUACCUUUCCAUGUUGCGAAGAAGAUUUUAUAAGUUACGAGUGAUUUUUUGUUCUAUACAUGUCUAGAUACGGAAGAAGAAAACAAUAAUGUGUAAAAAAAAUACAUUUAGAUAAACUAAUGAAUUCCUUCAAUGGUAUUACGUUUAAUGUGCACUGAUAAUGUAUACUAGUUAAUCUCUUCUAUAGACUAUACAUAUAAUAAAAUUAAUUAAUUCUUUCACAUAACAGAACGUUUUUAGUGUUGCAUGCAACAAAGUGAUUCAAGAAUUAAUUAUUUAAAUUGGAGAUUUGAAAUACAAUUGUGAUAUACUUGAAUUCCGUUGUUAGAAAUCAUAUAUAUCUCUGUGUGAACUCAUCUCCCCACAGAUAUGCUUACUGCAAAUCACCAUAUAAAGAAACAAAAAUGAAUAUAGGGUUUCCUCGUACGAGUGAAUAACCAAAUUUCAAUAGAAAUGAAAUGUUAAAGAGAAAUUAAUGCAAUUGCAAAGGAAUCACAAAAAGUUGGAAAAUAGUACAUCAGUUUCACUUUUGUUGAUAAAGUAUAUAUGCACACAGACGAGACUUUUGUUAAAGGCAAGGAGCGAGGGAGACACAAUUAGAAAUUGGGUAGCACAACACAUUAAUUUCAAGUACAAAGGUGACGAAGGGUGCUAACUCAACAAUCCAACCGUGUACAUUAUACAUUAAAACAACUUUAAGUUUUUUGUUCUAAACCUAAAGAAAAUAACUAUAAAAAAAUGUUUACUCAAGAUAGGUCUAAUUAAUAGGUCAUCGUAGGUAUUUAUGAUAGAUACUAAUUGGUAAUCUAGUGCAAAUGUAAAUUAACAUGUCAACAUAGAUUAAAUUACGUUAAAAGUGUAAGAAAUGUGUAUACAUUGUUGAUAUAUAUAAAUUAAAACAGUUUCAAAAUCACCAAGGCAACGAAGUGCGGAAGGACCACUAUUGACCCCUGAUGAGAGGGAUUGGGUAGCUACAUGUAGUUUAACAAUUUAAAAAAAGAAGAGGAUUAAGGUUUAUAGAAAACAUUUAAACUAUAAUAAAACAGAAGAACAACAUUUAGUCAAUGAUUAAUAUCAUUUUGCUACUAAAUAUAACAUAUAAAAUAAGCAAAACACUACAUUGUUCAUUCCAGUAAACAUCAAACAAGAAAUGGCAAUUGUAAUUAGCACCAGUGGAGACAUCCAGGCAUACUAAUACAAAGAUCAAAAUAGGAUAGAAAGGUCAUUAAACAAAUAUCAAAGUCAGAGAUAUCAAUGCUUCAUUAUUUCGAUCCAUUGAAUCUGAGUUCAGAUUAGUCAUACACAUUAGCUUUGACUUACUGAAACUUCAAGAAUACCCGAUAAGUUAAUAAGUCACACCAAUUAUUUUGUGCAUAUGCAUACAUAGUGAAGAACAUAAGUUUGCAGAUCUACUUCUUGUUGAUUAUAAUAAACAUGAGAUUAUUUACUGAUUUUGUAAUUUAAUUUAAUAGAGCUUCAAUCAAACAUGGGUUAGUGCAAGUCCUUUUCUUUUGUGCAUAUGUAUACGUUGCAAUUUUGUUUGCUUAAUCUCUUGUUCUCGUUCAAAUUGUUAGUGUUUCAUCACACUGUUUGUUAGAGUGAAUCAAAAUCGAUAAUUAAUUCACAAAAGAAGUAAAAAUAAAGAAAAAGAUUGUCACUAAGAGAAAUUAAUAAUCUAAGACAAAAUUUUACAUCAUCUAGGUUGAACUUUGAAAAAAUAAUAUACUACAACAUAGUAUUCCAUAACUUAUGUUACAUGUAAAUAGUGACAACAUAAAAAGGAGGAAAUGUUUAUAGGGCUACCUACAAUACAAGCAAAUAUGAUUAGGGAUUCAUAAAAAGGGUUGUUUUGGCAUCCUAUGUAGACAGUUGCAGAACACCAACACAUCAACAACAACAACAUACCCACUAUAGUCCCAAAAGGAUAGUCUAAAACGUGUAAACAUUCUGUUUUUCAAAGACCCCUCCAUAGAAGAGUAUAUCAACAUAAAAUUUCAUUCUCUAGUGACUUACAUCGGUAAAAAAAGGUUCAUUCCCCAGGGAAUCUAAAUCAUCAGGUGAACUAGAGUAUUUGUAAAACUUCCCACUAUUACAGUAAGCUAUAUAUCACAGCUACAAUGGCAUCAAAAUAAUACCAUGGCUGUUGUAUUAGAUUAUUUUUUACAAACUCGGAACUUGAGAUUAAAGCGAGCCAUGAUUUUGAAACAAACCUGAAUUACAACAAGGCCAUCAUAGAAGUACCUCCAUGUUGAUGUCUUCAGGAAGUUGUUUUCUCAUCUUUGAAGCUCUAGUUUCCACCACUGAAUUUGAGGUGGAUAUUGU
rnacentral:lncRNA from 1 species